rnacentral:tRNA from 1 species
GUCAGGAUGGCCGAGCGGUCUGAGGUGCCAGACUCAAGAUGUGGGCGUGGGUUCGAAUCCCACUCCUGACA